rnacentral:lncRNA from 1 species
UUUAAAUAUGCUCUGUAUCAGUUCAAAACUUGAUAUCUGGGUUUCAGUUUGCUCAAUCUAUUGUCAUGGGUCUUAAAUCUGUUUUUACAACUUCGCCAAUUUUAGGACAGCUGCAAAUAGAUGUAUGUCUCUAGCAGGAGUAGUAUAAAAUGAGGUUAAGAUAUAAUAUGUAUCAUGCAAUUAACAUAUUCGGAGUAUAUGUUUUGUAUGUGCUCUUAAAGAAAGCUACUGAGAUAGAAAUGUAUUUAAAAACUUAUUUUAGCGUUGGAGUCAAAUUUGACCUUUCAUGCCAAAUUAACAUAAUACUUUCAGUUUAAGGCGGAUUAAGCAUCCUUUCCGACAGCCUUCAACUGUGAAAGGCUUGAAACUUAAUUUAAAAUUAAUUAAUUCUAGGGAAUUAAUUAAUUAGGAAGAGAAGUAAAAUUAAAUUAGAAAAAGACAGAAAGAAAUUAUUAGAUUUAGUUGGAUUUAUACACGCGCGCAAAAAGAUUGUCAGAAUGAGUGCUUAGUUGGCUUUGAAAAAGCACCACUAAAGCUCAAAAUUCAAUUAAAAGCUUAAAAUGACAUUAAAUUUUUAUUUUUUUAAGCUAAAGUCUUGGUCUCCUUCCACUACAAUAUGAUAUGAAAUUUGGUGAAGUGUGCCACGUCAUGUUUAGUAUUUUACUACUUCAAGUGGCUGAAUUUCACAUUCCUUGCCACAUCACAAUUUUUGAUUGGUACUUUCUGAACUAUGUUAUAUUUGGAAAAUCUGUAAUAAAACUAGAAAAAGACCGAAUAUCCUAGCUAUAAUUCAUACUCUCCUUUUUGGGCCUUCUAUUAAAUCACGGGUACAACAGGCGAGGAGACAGUACCAGGUGAAGCCAAAAGUUGCUAGAUGCCGGUGAUACUUUGAUAGCUGUAACCAAGAAAAUGUAGGAUUGGGAAGCGGGGUCCACUCUGACAUUUGGUGGCACUAGAUAAUCU